CGGACGGGUGAGUAACGCGUGGGUAACCUGCCUCAUACAGGGGGAUAACAGUUAGAAAUGACUGCUAAUACCGCAUAAGACCACAGCACCGCAUGGUGCAGGGGUAAAAACUCCGGUGGUAUGAGAUGGACCCGCGUCUGAUUAGCUGGUUGGUGAGGUAACGGCCCACCAAGGCGACGAUCAGUAGCCGGCCUGAGAGGGUGACCGGCCACAUUGGGACUGAGACACGGCCCAA
rnacentral:rRNA from 1 species